rnacentral:sRNA from 1 species
GCUGGGCACAGUGGCGUAUGCCUGUAAUCCUAGCAUCUCAGGAGGCUGAGGCAGGACGGUUUUGAGUUCAAAGCCAGCCUCAGCAACUUAUCGAGACCCUGUCUCUG